rnacentral:rRNA from 1 species
UACGUAGGGCGCAAGCGUUAUCCGGAAUUAUUGGGCGUAAAGAGCUCGUAGGCGGUUUGUCGCGUCUGCCGUGAAAGUCCGGGGCUCAACUCCGGAUCUGCGGUGGGUACGGGCAGACUAGAGUGAUGUAGGGGAGACUGGAAUUCCUGGUGUAGCGGUGAAAUGCGCAGAUAUCAGGAGGAACACCGAUGGCGAAGGCAGCUUGCUGGGCUUCUUCUGACACUGAGGUACGAAAGCGUGGGGAGCAAACAGG